AGAGUUUGAUCCUGGCUCAGAUUGAACGCUGGCGGCAUGCUUUACACAUGCAAGUCGAACGGCAGCGGGGGCUUCGGCCUGCCGGCGAGUGGCGAACGGGUGAGUAAUGCAUCGGAACGUGCCCAUGUCGUGGGGGAUAACGUAUCGAAAAGUACGCUAAUACCGCAUACGUCCUGAGGGAGAAAGCGGGGGAUCUUCGGACCUCGCGCGAUUGGAGCGGCCGAUGUCGGAUUAGCUAGUAGGUGAGGUAAAGGCUCACCUAGGCGACGAUCCGUAGCGGGUCUGAGAGGAUGAUCCGCCACACUGGGACUGAGACACGGCCCAGACUCCUACGGGAGGCAGCAGUGGGGAAUUUUGGACAAUGGGGGCAACCCUGAUCCAGCCAUGCCGCGUGAGUGAAGAAGGCCUUCGGGUUGUAAAGCUCUUUCGGCCGGGAAGAAAUCGUGGUCUCUAACAUAGGCCAUGGAUGACGGUACCGGACUAAGAAGCACCGGCUA
rnacentral:rRNA from 1 species